CCUACGGGGGGCAGCAGUGAGGAAUAUUGGUCAAUGGACGAGAGUCUGAACCAGCCAAGUAGCGUGAAGGAUGACUGCCCCAUGGGUUGUAAACUUCUUUUAUAUGGGAAUAAAACGUUCCACGUGUGGGAUUUUGUAUGUACCAUAUGAAUAAGGAUCGGCUAACUCCGUGCCAGCAGCCGCGGUAAUACGGAGGAUCCGAGCGUUAUCCGGAUUUAUUGGGUUUAAAGGGAGCGUAGGUGGAUUGUUAAGUCAGUUGUGAAAGUUUGCGGCUCAACCGUAAAAGUGCAGUUGAAACUGGCAGUCUUGAGUACAGUAGAGGUGGGCGGAAUUCGUGGUGUAGCGGUGAAAUGCUUAGAUAUCACGAAGAACUCCGAUUGCGAAGGCAGUUCACUGGACUGCAACUGACACUGAGGCUCGAAAGUGUGGGUAUCAAACAGGAUUAGAUACCCCAGUAGUC
rnacentral:rRNA from 1 species